rnacentral:rRNA from 1 species
UACUGAGGUCCCAAGCGUUGUUCGGAUUCACUGGGCGUAAAGGGUGCGUAGGCGGUCGGGUAAGUCUGAUGUGAAAUCCCGCAGCUUAACUGCGGAACUGCAUUGGAUACUAUUUGACUAGAGGAAUGGAGGGGAGACUGGAAUACUUGGUGUAGCAGUGAAAUGCGUAGAUAUCAAGUGGAACACCAGUGGCGAAGGCGAGUCUCUGGACAUUUCCUGACGCUGAGGCACGAAAGCCAGGGGAGCACACGGG